AUUAUUAUUAUUAUUAUAUUAUCUCCUUGCAUUGCACUGCUUUCCUAUUGCAUUGCCUUGCAUUGCAAUGGAUGGAUGGAUAGGGCGGGCUACAAAUAAAUUAUUAUUAUUAUUAUUAUCUCCUUGCAUUGCCUUGCAUUGCAAUGGAUGGAUGGAUAGGGCGGUCUACAAAUAAAAAAUAUUAUUAUUAUUAUUAUUAUUAUUAUCUUGCAUUGCUCUGCUUUCCUAUUGCAUUGGCUUGCAUUGCAAUGGAUGGAUGGAUAGGGCCGUCUAGAAAUUAAAAUUAUUAUUAUUAUUAUCUCCUUGCAUUGCACUGCUUUCCUAUUGCAUUGCCUUGCAUUGCAAUGGAUGGAUGGAUAGGGCGGGCUACAAAUAAAUUAUUAUUAUUAUCUCCUUGCAUUGCCUUGCAUUGCAAUGGAUGGAUGGAUAGGGCGGUCUACAAAUAAAAAAUAUUAUUAUUAUUAUCAUCUCCUUGCAUUGCUCUGCUUUCCUAUUGCAUUGGCUUGCAUUGCAAUGGAUGGAUGGAUAGGGCCGUCUAGAAAUUAAAAUUAUUAUUAUUAUUAUCUCCUUGCAUUGCUCUGCUUUCCUAUUGCAUUGGCUUGCAUUGCAAUGGAUGGAUGGAUAGAGCGGUCUAGAAAUAAAAAAUAUUAUUAUUAUUAUUAUUAUUAUUAUCUCCUUGCAUUGCCUUGCAUUGCAAUGGAUGGAUGGAUAGGGCGGUCUAUAAAUUAAAACUAUUAUUAUUAUUAUUAUUAUUAUUAUUAUUAUCUCCUUGCAUUGCACUGCAUUCCUAUUACAUUGCCUUGCAUUGCAAUGGAUGGAUGGAUAGGGCGGUCUAUAAAUUAAAACGAUUAUUAUUAUUAUUGUUAUUGUUAUUAUUAUCUCCUUGCAUUGUACUGCUUUCCUAUUGCAUUGGCUUGCAUUGCAAUGGAUGGAUGGAUAGGGCGGUCUACACAUAAAAAUUAUUAUUAUUAUUAUUAUUAUUAUUAUUAUUAUUAUUAUUAUUAUUAUUAUUAUCUCCUUACCUUGCAUUGCAAUGGAUGGAUUGAUAGGGCGGUCUACAAAUAAAAAAUAUUAUUAUUAUUAUUAUUAUUAUUAUUAUUAUUAUUAUUAUUAUUAUUAUAGAUAGGCCUUUCCAUUGCCUCUCCUUGCCUUGCACUACAUUCCUAUUGCAUUGCCUUUGAACUGCAUGGUUUUGCUAUUGCCAUUGCCUUGCCAUUGAACUGACUUACAUAAUAUUGUAUUGCACUGCAUUGCAUUGGAUGGAUAGAUGGAUAUAUGGAAGAUAUAUAUGAAUAGACCUUGCCAUUGCCUCUCCUUGAAUUGCACUGCAUUCUUAUUGCAUUGCAUUGCCUUUGAACUUCAUAUCCUUGCCAUUUAACUGCCUGGCAUUGCAUUAUAUUGCAUUGGAUGGAUAGAUAAGGUAUCUUUAUCUAUAAGGUAUCUUCCCUUGCAUUGCACUGCAUUCCUAUUGCAUUGCAUUGCCUUUGAACUGCUUGCUAUUGCCUUGCCAUUGAACUGCCUUGCAUUUCAUUGGAUGGAUUGAUAGGUAUCUGGAUGGAUUGAUAGGUAUCUGGAUGGAUGGAUGGGUUAGAUAGACAGAUAGAUAGAUAUCUGGACAGAUGGAUGGAUGGCUAGAUAGAAGGAUAGAUCUAUAUGGAUGGAUAGAUAGAUUGAUAUUUAUCUGGGUGGAUAUCUAGAUAAAUGGAUGGAUGGAUGAGAUAGAUAUCUGGAUGGAUGGAUAAAAGAAUAGAUAUAUAUCUGGAUGGAUGGAUCGAUAGACAUAUUGAUAGAUAUCUAGAUGGAUAGAUAGGUAUAUGGAUAAUAUGGAUAGAUGAUUGAUUGGUUGAUAGGUAUCUGGAUGGAUGAAUGAAUAGAUAGAUAUUUGGAUGGAUGGAUAGAUUGAUCAGUUUCUGGAUGGAUGGAUAGAUAGAUAGAUAGAUAGAUAGAUAGAUAGAUAGAUAGAGAUAGAAAGACAGAUACGAUAGACAGAUAAAUAAAUAUUUGGAUGGAUGGAUAAGUUGAUCAGUUUCUGGAUGGAUGGACAGACAGACAAAUAAAUAUUUGGAUUGAUUGAUUGAUUGAUAGGUAUCUGGAUGGAUGAAUGGAAAGAUAGAUAGAUAUUUGGAUGGAUGGAUAGAUUGAUCAGUUUCUGGAUGGAUGGAAAGAUAGGUAGAUGGAUAAUAUAGAUAGAUGAUUGAUUGAUUGAUAGGUAUCUGGAUGGAUAAGUGGAUAGAUAGAUAGAUAGAUAGAUAGACAGAUAUUUGGAUGGAUGGAUAGAUUGAUCGGUUUCUGGAUGAAUUGACAGAUAGAUAGAUAGAUAGAUAGAUAGAUAGAUAGAUAGAUAGAUAGAUAGAUAGAUAGAUAAAAAGACAGAUACGAUAGAUAAAUAAAUAUUUGGAUCGAUUGAUUGAUUGAUUGAUUGAUUGAUAGGUAUCUGGAUGGAUGAAUGGAUAGAUAGAUAGAUAGAUAGAUAGAUAGAUAGAUAAUAUAGAUGAUUGAUUGAUUGAUUGAUUGGUAGGUAUCUGGAUGGAUGAGUGGAUAGAUAGAUAGAUAUUUGGAUGGAUGGAUAGAUUGAUCGGUUUCUGGAUGAAUUGUCAGAUAGAUAGAUAGAUAGAUAGAUAGAUAGAUAGAUAGAUAGAUAGAUAGAUAUUUGGAUGGAUGGAUAAAUUGAUCGGUUUCUGGAUGGAUGGGCAGACAGAGACAAAUAUUUGGAUGGAUGGAUAGAUGGAUCGGUUUCUGGAUGGAUAGAUAGAUAAAUAAAUAUUUGGAUGGAUGGAUAAAUUGAUCAGUUUCUGGAUGGAUGGAUAGAUAGAUAAAUAAAUAUUUGGUUGGAUGGAUAGAUGGAUCGGUUUCUGGAUGGAUAGAUAGAUAAAUAAAUAUUUGGAUGGAUGGAUAAAUUGAUCAGUUUCUGGAUGGAUGGAUAGAUAGAUAAAUAAAUAUUUGGUUGGAUGGAUAAAUUGAUCAGUUUCUGGAUGGAUGGAUAGAUAGAUAAAUAAAUAUUUGGAUGGAUGGAUAAAUUGAUCAGUUUCUGGAUGGAUGGAUAGAUAGAUAAAUAAAUAUUUGGAUGGAUGGAUAAAUUGAUCAGUUUCUGGAUGGAUGGAUAGAUAGAUAAAUAAAUAUUUGGUUGGAUGGAUAAAUCGAUCGGUUUCUGGAUAGAUAGAUAGAUAGAUAGAUAGAUAGAUAGAUAGAUAGAUAGAUAUCUGGAUGCAUGUAUGGAUUGAUAGAUGGAUAGAUAUAUAGAUGGCUUCUUUGGCUUCUUUCUGCUGAAAUAGGGAGAUUUCAACUGAGAUUUCCAUAUAAAGCCAAAUGCGUUUCCCUUUUGUGAUGUUUUUGCCUGGAGGAGAUUUCUUCUUCUCUUCUUCCUCCUCCUCCUUCUUUCACUUUCUUUCUCUUCCAUUUCUUCCCAUGCUCUUUUCUUUUUCUCUAUCGGGCCGUGAGCCGAGACGGGAUGUCGAGAGCACCGUUUUGAAAUAUCGCUAUACAUAUAUACAUAUGGACACGCACACAUAUAUAUUUGGACCCUCAUUAGACAGGACGGGGACGUGGUUGUUGCAAAACUCCCUCAUGUCCUGACAAUGCUUAUUAAAUAGUUUCUAGGUUCUCAUCAUCAUUAUGCAUUAGAGUUCUAAUAUCUCAUCAUCAUAUUCAUUAUUCAUUAUUCAUUGCAAAAUUGUGGCUGCGACUUUGCUUCUGGGGAUGGUUUCGGUGCAGAGAAUAAAGGAAAAAAGUGGUGUGAAACAUGA